rnacentral:rRNA from 1 species
AUUGAACGCUGGCGGCAGGCCUAACACAUGCAAGUCGAGCGAGGGGCGGACGGGUGAGUAAUGUAUGGGGAUCUGCCCGAUAGCGGGGGAUAACUACUGGAAACGGUGGCUAAUACCGCAUACUAUCCGCUGAACGCAUAUGGGAUUAGAUAGUAGGUGGGGUAAAGGCUUACCUAGGCGACGAGCUCUAGCUGGUCUGCGAGGCUGAUCGGCCAAACUGGGACUGAGAUACGGCCCAGACUCCUACGGGAGGCAGCAGUGGGGAAUAUUGCACAAGGGGCGCAAGCCUGAUGCAGCCAUGCCGCGUGUAUGAUGAAGGCCUUAGGGUCGUAAAGUACUUUCAGCGGGGAGGCGUUACCCGCAGAAGAAGCACCGGCUAACUCCGUGCCAGCAGCCGCGGUAAUUC